CCUACGGGCGGCAGCAGUGGGGAAUAUUGGGCAAUGGGCGCAAGCCUGACCCAGCAACGCCGCGUGAAGGAAGAAGGCUUUCGGGUUGUAAACUUCUUUUCUCAGGGACGAAGAAAGUGACGGUAACUGAGGAAUAAGCCACGGCUACCUACGUGCCAGCAGCCGCGGUAAUACGUAGGUGGCAAGCGUUAUCCGGAUUUAUUGGGUGGAAAGGGCGGGUAGGCGGGAGCGCAAGUCAGAUGUGAAAACUCAUGGCUCAACCCUGAGCCGCCAUUUGAAACUGUGUUUCUUGAGUGCUGGAGAGGCAAUCGGAAUUCCGGGUGUAGCGGUGAAAUGCGUAGAGAUACGGAGGAACACCAGUGGCGAAGGCGGAUUGCUGGACAGUAACUGACGCUGAGGUGCGAAAGCGUGGGGAGCAAACAGGAUUAGAUACCCGGGUAGUC
rnacentral:rRNA from 1 species